rnacentral:rRNA from 1 species
UACGAGGGAGCUAGCGUUGCUCGGAAUUAUGCGUAGGCGUAAGCGCAGCGUAGCGGUCUGUCGCGCGCUGUGAAAUCCCGAGGCUCAACCUCGGGUCUGCAGUCGAUACGGGCAAACUAGAGUAUUGCAGGGGAGACUGGAAUUCCUGGUGUAGCGGUGAAAUGCGCAGAUAUCAGGAGGAACACCGGUGGCGAAGGCGGGUCUCUGGGCAAUAACUGACGCUGAGGAGCGAAAGCGUGGGGAGCGAACAGG